CAUCUCCCCAGGCUGCCAGCUUCCAGGUGGGGCUGGGCGAGUACCUGUCCAAAAGCCUCACCCUCAAGCUCAACCAGGAGC
rnacentral:pre_miRNA from 1 species